rnacentral:rRNA from 1 species
CCUACGGGAGGCAGCAGUGGGGAAUAUUGGGCAAUGGGCGCAAGCCUGACCCAGCAACGCCGCGUGAAGGAAGAAGGCUUUCGGGUUUUAAACUUCUUUUGUCAGGGAAGAGUAGCAGACGAUACCUGACGAAUAAGCCACGGCUAACUACGUGCCAGGAGCCGCGGUACUAAGGAGGUGGCAAGCGUUGUCCGGAUUUACUGGGGGUAAAGGGCGUGUAGCCGGGUUGACAAGUCAGAUGUGAAAUCCUGCGGCUUAACCGCAGAACUGCAUUUGAAACUGUUGAUCUUGAGUACUGGAGAGGCAGAUGGAAUGCGUAGUGUAGCGGUGAAAUGCGUAGAUAUUAGGAGGAACACCAGUGGCGAAGGCAGUCUGCUGGACAGCAACUGACGGUGAGGCGCGAAAGCGUGGGGAGCAAACAGGAUUAGAUACCCCAGUAGUC